rnacentral:rRNA from 1 species
GUUAGUCCUAUAGGAGUAGUUUGACUUCGUGGCUCGAGAUGAACGCUGGGCGGCGUGCUUUAACACAUGCAAGUCGAACGGAGAUUAUACGCAGAGGCGAUUUCGGUCAAAUCAUGUGUAAUCUUAGUGGCGGACGGGUGAGUAACGCGUGGGUAACCUGCCUUACACUGGGGGAUAACACUUAGAAAUAGGUGCUAAUACCGCAUAAGCGCACGAAGCCGCAUGGAUUUGUGUGAAAAACUCCGGUGGUGUAAGAUGGACCCGCGUCUGAUUAGCUUGUUGCGGGGUAACGGCCCACCAAGGCGACGAUCAGUAGCCGGCCUGAGAGGGUGGACGGCCACAUUGGGACUGGGACGACGGCCCAAACUCCUACGGGAGGCAGCAGUGGGGGAUAUUGGACAAUGGGGGGAACCCUGAUCCAGCGACGCCGCGUGAGUGAAGAAGUAUUUCGGUAUGUAAAGCUCUGUCAGCAGGGAAGAAAGAAAUGACGGUACCUGACCAAGAAGCCCCGGCUAACUACGUG